rnacentral:rRNA from 1 species
UACGUAGGGGGCAAGCGUUGUCCGGAAUUAUUGGGCGUAAAGAGCGCGUAGGCGGUCCGAUAAGUCGGCUGUGAAAGUCAAGGGCUCAACCCUUGGAAGCCGGCCGAUACUGUCGGACUAGAGUCCGGAAGAGGCGAGUGGAAUUCCCGGUGUAGCGGUGAAAUGCGCAGAUAUCGGGAGGAACACCAAUUGCGAAGGCAGCUCGCUGGGACGUUACUGACGCUGAGACGCGAAAGCGUGAGGAGCGAACAGG